UGACGACGACGACGACGACAAUGGCGUCGGCCGGAUGCCCGCACCCCCGUUCGACGAUCCUGUACCCAGACCUGCCAUGCGAUCCCGACGUGUGUGCCAAGAGUUGCGCCAAGGGAUUGAACAACGGCAACGGCACCUGCAUGAGGCCGAUUGGAUGUGAUUGCGUGUUCUGCGUGCCAGAAACCGUCGCAAAACGCCCGGCUGUCUCUACGCGUAUGCUGUGCACUACUACCAUUUCGAUUUAAUUUCACGCAUUGAAGUAAUGAUCCAUCCACACUCUUGCUACUUUGUUUGUGUCGGAAAAUCCUACAGGUUUGACGACGACGACGACGACAAUGGCGUCGGCCGGAUGCCCGCACCCCCGUUCGACGAUCCUGUACCCAGACCUGCCAUGCGAUCCCGACGUGUGUGCCAAGAGUUGCGCCAAGGGAUUGAACAACGGCAACGGCACCUGCGUGAGGCCGAUUGGAUGUGAUUGCGUGUUCUGCGUGCCAGAAACCGUCGCAAAACGCCCGGCUGUCUCUACGCGUAUGCUGUGCACUACUACCAUUUCGAUUUAAUUUCACGCAUUGAAGUAAUGAUUCAUCCACACUCUUGCUACUUUGUUUGUGUCGGAAAUCCCACAGGUUUGACGACGACGACGACGACAAUGGCGUCGGCCGGAUGCCCGCACCCCCGUUCGACGAUCCUGUACCCAGACCUGCCCUGCGAUCCCGACGUGUGUGCCAAGAGUUGCGCCAAGGGAUUGAACAACGGCAACGGCACCUGCGUGAGGCCGAUUGGAUGUGAUUGCGUGUUCUGCGUGCCAACAGCCGGCCAAGCUGCACGUACAACGUAGCUACCCCGAUUUGGACCCGGCGUUCGCGAGUUUUUUUUUACAAGAGCAAUGGCGGAGAUGUAGUUAAUAAUCAUGUACUAGCAGCACUAUAGUUUCGAGCAGAGAAGACUGUGGAAUCUUUGCGUCAGAAGAUAUAUAGCCGUGAGAUUGAAAGCUGAGUUCUUUUAUAUUUUGAACGUAAUGGCAAGAACUCUAACUUUUGAUGAAGAAUAAGAAAUAGAAUUGACUCGGUUUUAAAGAAAAACUGGGUCCAAAAU
rnacentral:lncRNA from 1 species